CAAUCGCAGCCAAGAAUGAAAUAUAAUGAAAAAGGGAAUUUCAUUUAUUAAAUUGCUCUCUCUCAUUUUUUUUAGCCACAGCAGUUGCUCUCGGUCGCUUCAUUCCCAGAGCUCCCUGCAGGAUCCAGAACAGCAACCACAUGUGAGCCACAUAUUUAAGCAGAGAUGGUGGGCAGUUGUUACCAAUGUGUCUGUGUUAACCCCUUGGAGAUAGUCAUCACUCAUGGUGCUGGCAAAUGCUGGAUGGAAAAUGCCAGUAUUCAAAGUGUUAAGUAGCUCAGUUGGCGAGCCACUGGUUCCACAGAACUGGAACAUCACCUUUUCAGAGCGUUGCAGGAAGAGGAAGUCUGCCUCUUUGAUCACAAGGAUUUGGUUGCAGUCAAGCUGCGGAAUAGCCCUGUAAACGCCUAAUGGUCUGGAAUACAUUAUAACCAAUGCAAUCAACAGUCAGCUGUUUGAACUGCAAUCAGAACAGACUGUUUCGGGAAGCGAGAAGAGUACUACAGGAUUCUAGUCUCUCAUGACCUUUCCCCCAACACCCUUUGUCUGAGGGUAAACAGAAGAGUAACUUGAAGCUAUAAGAAAAACAAAGAGCUGUUUUCUGGUACACAAAGGGAUGUAGGGGAAUUUUGUGAAGAGAGCAUUUCCCAAUUCCUUUGGACCAACAGCAUUCAUAGAAAGAAUGAUCAUUACAAUAGGCUACAAUAGGUAUAUUUGUCUCAGUAAUUGUCGUAAGUGACUGAGAUGCCCUGACCGAAUAAGGUGCAUUACUUAAGACUCUACUGCAAACAGCCAGAAAAUCUUGAUAAAGUACUCUGCACACACUUCUUCAAGCUAGUUAGAAAAUGGGGAAAUGAUUUCACUAACAUUUUUGAUGUUGUUUCCAUUUUGCCAUUUGGAAUGGACCCAUUUUCUGUUUUUCAUGAAAUUCUCCACA